rnacentral:tRNA from 1 species
UUUAUAUUAUUAAAAAUAAUUAUAUUAUCUUGAUAAGAUAAAGUUCUUCUGAUAUAAAA